UAUGUGAAUAUAAUUCAGCAAACAACUUCCACGAGAUAUAAGUCUUCUAAAAACAUAGGGCGUGUCGUCAAAAAAUGAUAUAAAUAAUCCCAAUCGUCAAAGAUAUAUCAGUGAAAGAAUAUACUGACAGACGAUCAUUAAGGACUAUUCAAAUCUGCUUCGCAAUUGAACAAUUUAAAAAAAUGAGUGCUGCUCUUUAGGAAGUUUGAGUUAUUUGUGAUAAAAUGAUAAGAACUUAAAACCAUAGUAAAAUAAUUACCAUUAAUUCCAACCAAGCCAAGAUCGACGCAUUACACGCCACACAGUAACUUCUCCACUCUUUAAAUCACCGAAUUUGUAGCUUGCAACUGAAACCUUCUUGGACUCUCUGCCUUGUUCCAACACCCUAAUCUUCAGUUUCGAAACAUCCCACUCUGAUAUGAUACCAUAAUGCAUGGGCUUACCAAC